CCCAGUGACUCUUUUAAACGGCCGCGGUAUCCUAACCGUGCAAAGGUAGCAUAAUCACUUGUCUCUUAAAUAGAGACUAGAAUGAAUGGCUAAAUGAGGACUAAUCUGUCUCUUACGGACCAACCAAUGAAAUUAAUCUUUCAGUACAAAAGCUGAAAUAAAAACAUAAGACGAGAAGACCCUGUGGAGCUUCAAACCAAACACACCCUGCAUGCUCCUCAGGUUUUUAGUUGGGGCGACUUCGGAGCACAAUAAAACCUCCAAAAUUUUUUAUCUUCAAGAUUAACAAACCAAAAACUUUAUUAGACCCAGCAAUGUAUAACAUUGUCUGAUCACUGAACCAAGUUACCCCAGGGAUAACAGCGCCAUCCCCUCCUAGAGUCCAUAUCGACAAGGGGGUUUACGACCUCGAUGUUGGAUCAGGACACCCCAAUGGUGCAGCCACCAUUAAAGGUUCGUUUGUUCAACGAUUAAUUAGUCC
rnacentral:rRNA from 1 species